rnacentral:rRNA from 1 species
CAGCACCUCAAGUGGUCAGGAUGAUUAUUGGGCCUAAAGCAUCCGUAGCCGGCGCUGUAAGUUUUCGGUUAAAUCUGUACGCUCAACGUACAGGCUGCCGGGAAUACUGCAGCGCUAGGGAGUGGGAGAGGUAGACGGUACUCGGUAGGAAGGGGUAAAAUCCUUUGAUCUAUUGAUGACCACCUGUGGCGAAGGCGGUCUACCAGAACACGUCCGACGGUGAGGGAUGAAAGCUGGGGGAGCAAACCGGAUUAGAGAACCGAGUAGUCC